UGUAAAUGAGCAGAGCAAAUGAAACUCACUUUUGACGACCUGAUGAUCAUCCAGACUGUGUUUCUAUUGAGAGAUAAAAGGCUGGUUGAAUGAGUUGCCUAUGAAAGCUACUUCAUCUGCAAGAAAACAGGCGGCUGCACCAGUGACUGUAAAUAGUCAGAGUAGGUUUGAGCUAUGAUCACUUAUCAUGCUGACAAACCUGAUGGUCUCUGUGAACUGAUCUGAACAGGUUUAGACUGGUCAUCUAUGAUAUGUAGGUUAUAUACAGUACAUUCUCUGUCCUGCUACUGGAAGGACUAUAACAUUAUGUGAACUGAUCUGAACAGGUUUAGACUGGUCAUCUAUGAUAUGUAGGUUAUAUACAG